CCUACGGGAGGCAGCAGUGAGGAAUAUUGGUCAAUGGGCGCGAGCCUGAACCAGCCAAGUAGCGUGAAGGAUGACUGCCCUACGGGUUGUAAACUUCUUUUAUAAAGGAAUAAAGUGAGGCCCGUGUGCCUUUUUUUAUGUACUUUAUGAAUAAGGAUCGGCUAACUCCGUUCCAGCAGCCGCGGUUAGACGGAGGAUUCGAGCGUUAUCCGGAUUUUUUGGGUUUAAAGGGAGCGUAGAUGGGUGGUUAAGUCAGUUGUGAAAGUUUGAGGCUCAACCGUAAAAUUGCAAUUGAUACUGGCAGCCGUGAGUACAGUUGAGGUAGGCGGAAUUCGUGGUGUAGCGGUGAAAUGCUUAGAUAUCACGAAGAACUCCGAUUGCGAAGGCAGCUUACUAAACUGCCACUGACAUUGAUGCUCGAAAGUGUGGGUAUCAAACAGGAUUAGAUACCCCUGUAGUC
rnacentral:rRNA from 1 species